GACGAACGCUGGCGGCGUGCUUAACACAUGCAAGUCGAACGGAAAGGCCCUGCUUUUGUGGGCUGCUCGAGUGGCGAACGGGUGAGUAACACGUGCGUAACCUGCCCUUGACUUUGGGAUAACUUCAGGAAACUGGGUCUAAUACCGGAUAGGAGCUCCUGCUGCAUGGUGGGGGUUGGAAAGUUUCGGCGGUUGGGGCUGGACUCGCGGGUUAUCAGCUUGUUGUUGGGUUAGUGCCUUACAAAGGCUUUGACGGGUAGUCGGCCUGCGAGGGUGACCGGCCACAUUGGGACUGAGAUACGGCCCAGACUCCUACGGGAGGCAGCAGUGGGGAAUAUUGCACAAUGGGCGGAAGCCGGAUGCAGCAACGCCGCGUGCGGGAUGACGGCCUUCGGGUUGUAAACCGCUUUCGCCUGUGACGAAGCGUGAGUGACGGUAAUGGGUAAAGAAGCACCGGCUAACUACGUG
rnacentral:rRNA from 1 species